AAGUGCAGUAGUAGAGAUAAAAUAUGGCCAAGGCUCUUAUGAAGUCUCCAUUGUUGAUUGCCUUGUUGCUAAUCACCCUAGUUGCAAAUACUCCAUCCUUUAAGGUGGCUGCUAUACACCACUGUCAUUAUGUCGAGGAUUGCGAUGAUUUAUGUGAAGACCAAGCUAUUUGUGUUUUCCAUAUAUGCGUAUGCGUUCCUAAGACGAGAAAGAUUGGGGAAGUUGCAUUUGGUCAUGAUCUGCCUCCAAAUUGAUAUCUUCCAAGUGUUUGAUAAAUUGUCCAAAUGGGAAGAACUGUCAUUUCCCGUUAUGUACAUGUUUUAAUUGGCAAAAUUAUGCCGUUGCUAUAUAAAUUGAUGUAUUAAUUA